UUUGAGUUUGGAUAACUAUUAGAAAUGAUAGCUAAUACCGAAUUAAAUGCAGAUUCGUUUCUGUAUUAAAAGGAGCCUUUAAAGCUUCGCUUAAAGAUGGGCCUGCGGCGUAUUAGCUAGUUGGUGAGGUAAUGGCUUACCAAGGCGACGAUGCGUAGCCGAACUGAGAGGUUGAUCGGCCACAUUGGGACUGAGACACGGCCCAAACUCCUACGGGAGACAGCAGUUAGGAAUAUUCGUCAAUGGGGGAAACCCUGAACGAGCAAUGCCGCGUGAACGAUGAAGGCCCUAUGGGUUGUAAAGUUCUGUUGCAUGGGACGAACGAUUAGGAUAGGAAAUGAUCUUAAUGUGACGGUACCAUGCCAGAAAGCUCCGGCUAACUACGUG
rnacentral:rRNA from 1 species